AGUGCGGCUUCCCACUAGGCGCGUGGUACCCGAGGCCGGGCCGGAGCCGCAGGCCAGCCGCGAUUCCUUCGGGCGAUGCUGGGGGCUUUCCGGUCGGGGCCGCAGCCGCUUCCGGAGCCGCGGGCGAGGUGCGUUCCCCAGCCUGGUUUGCUCUGGGCUCUGACCCGCCGCCGCGAAUCUCCGCUCGUAACUCCGGGCCUGAACCUGGAGGAGGGAGGAUUUCCUCUGUGCAGCUUUCGAGCGGUAGACUCACCCUGCCAGGCAGACCUAGAUUGGCAUAACCAGAGAUCAGUUCCAGUUGUGAUGCAGUGGGUGUCUACACACUUCUGAUGACACCUUUAUUUUAAAAGCUGAUGUUCCAAGGUGCAAGCGGUCUUCUCUGUCUUCUUUAUGGCCAGUAAAAUUCUCCAGAAGAGAUUUAUGGCAGCCUCACUCCCAGUAGUUUCUGCAUUUAGUGAGAUAAGGAAUGGAUUUUCUUCUGUGUAUUGCUGACACGAACAGGAGACGGAAAUACUGAGUAGAAGAGGGCGGUUCCCUGGCUAAGGCCCCACCCUCAAGCCUGGAUACCCGCGGCCCUAAAUGAGAAGAGGCGUUUCUGUUUGGGGCCCAAAAAGUUGCUUUUUGACCCACCACGCCCCCUAUCCUGCCCCCAUAUAAACCCCAAACCCCAACCUCCAGAGCAUACCAGCAGGUGAGGAGAUACGAGGCAAGCCGACUGACGGCAAAACGACGUAGCAGAGAAAGAGAGAAGAGGAGGGACGUCUGGACACCGAGAGAUGUUUGGCUCGGGGCAGUCAGAGCGGAGUCCAGCCCCUGGGCGGCCCAACUCCAGGGGAAGAUCACCUUCCCACUUCAUCCAUCCCCACCCUUCCAGCUCCCCAUCCAUCCUGCUGAAAGCCAUUUCCACCACUCAAUAAAACCUCGCAUUCAUCCUUCAAGUCCGUGUGUGACCCGAUUUUUCCUGGAUUCUGGAAAAGAGCUCGGAAUACAGAAAGCUGUCCCCUGGUCCUUUGCCCUUGUGAAAAAGCAGAAGGUCCAUUGAGCUGGUUAACACUCCAGCUGUCUGUGGUGGCCAAGCUGAAAGAGCUUUGUAACACUGGGGUUGCAGGCACCCACCUCUAGACGCUACCGCAGAGCCAGAGCCCAAAGCCCUCACCCCGGCCUCUGCACUUGCCCAUCUGCGUGCUCCCCCUCUCGCAAGGGGUUUCUGCAGAGGGGGCUACUGAACAGGUGAGCCACACCCCUGUCGCACGCCCUGCAAGGGGAAUCAGGGAACUCUUCCGUUUCAUUGCUUUGACCACAUCCUAUAAAUCUUGUUCUCCUUGUCUUUCAGCUCCAAUUUGUUUAUACAUUCAGUUUUUACUUUUGACUUUACUCAUGAUUUAUUAUAGAAAGAUGUUUAACAAUUUUCAAGCAAAUGGAAUAAUUUUUGCUCCUCUUUCGUUGUUAAUUUAUUAUUCAUUGGAGUUAGAAAAUUGUUGCUAAAAUAAAUUCUGCAUUUUGAAAUUUA
rnacentral:lncRNA from 1 species